UUGACCUCGGAUCAGGUAGGGAUACCCCCUGAAACUUAACAAAAAUCAAAAAGGGAGAUCAGGUGAUCCGC
rnacentral:rRNA from 1 species